UACGGAGGGAGCUAGCGUUGUUCGGAAUUACUGGGCGUAAAGCGCGCGUAGGCGGCUUUGUAAGUUAGAGGUGAAAGCCUGGAGCUCAACUUCAGAAUUGCCUUUAAGACUGCAUCGCUUGAAUCCGGGAGAGGUGAGUGGAAUUCCGAGUGUAGAGGUGAAAUUCGUAGAUAUUCGGAAGAACACCAGUGGCGAAAGGCGGCUCACUGGACCCGGCAUUGAC
rnacentral:rRNA from 1 species